rnacentral:rRNA from 1 species
GGGUGGUAAUGCCGGAUGCUCCAGUUGAUCGCAUGGUCUUCUGGGAAAGCUUUCGCGGUAUGGGAUGGGGUCGCGUCCUAUCAGCUUGACGGCGGGGUAACGGCCCACCGUGGCUUCGACGGGUAGCCGGCCUGAGAGGGCGACCGGCCACAUUGGGACUGAGAUACGGCCCAGACUCCUACGGGAGGCAGCAGUGGGGAAUAUUGCACAAUGGGCGCAAGCCUGAUGCAGCGACGCCGCGUGAGGGAUGGAGGCCUUCGGGUUGUAAACCUCUUUUAUCGGGGAGCAAGCGAGAGUGAGUUUACCCGUUGAAUAAGCACCGGCUAACUACGUGCCAGCAGCCGCGGUAAUACGUAGGGUGCAAGCGUUAUCCGGAAUUAUUGGGCGUAAAGGGCUCGUAGGCGGUUCGUCGCGUCCGGUGUGAAAGUCCAUCGCUUAACGGUGGAUCCGCGCCGGGUACGGGCGGGCUUGAGUGCGGUAGGGGAGACUGGAAUUCCCGGUGUAACGGUGGAAUGUGUAGAUAUCGGGAAAGAACACCAC